UACGGAGGGUGCGAGCGUUGUCCGGAUUCAUUGGGCGUAAAGAGCUUGUAGGCGGUUCGGCAAGUCGGGUGUGAAAACUCCAGGCUCAACCUGGAGACGCCACCCGAUACUGCUGUGACUUGAGUCCGGUAGGGGACCACGGAAUUCCUGGUGUAGCGGUGAAAUGCGCAGAUAUCAGGAGGAACACCGGUGGCGAAGGCGGUGGUCUGGGCCGGCACUGACGCUGAGAAGCGAAAGCGUGGGGAGUCGAACAGG
rnacentral:rRNA from 1 species